rnacentral:rRNA from 1 species
AUGGCCGAGAUGGUCAAGUCUACCAUUGUUGGGGAAGCAGUUAGCCGGAUUAUUUCUGGUAUUGCCCCCACCAGCAAAAGGCCUGACAGAUCAGUUGAAGAAGCAGCAGGGGAUGGUGGCCUAGAGAGGCUGGAGAUGGCGCACAUCAAAAUGGAGGCCACGCUCCAUACGUCUGACAAGUGGCAAAUCACCGACGUGCCGCUGCUCCAUUGGCGGAAGAAGCUAAAGCGUGCUGCCCAGCACUGCGACGACGUAGCGCGCAGAUGCAGGCAACUCUUUCAGGAAGAAGAGGAGGCGGAGCAAGUGGUAAGGCAAUCCUCGUUUCCUAGACAGAUAGCUCAUGCGACCAAGGUGUUCAUCUCCUCUUUGGUCGGCCGUGACAAUGACCAUUACUCUGCGAGCAGCACCACCACCGCUGCCGUCCGAAGAUUUGAGAAGCUUGCAGACGGUGCAAGUGAAUUCGGGCAAAUCACUGAUAUAUCAAAUGUUGCAUCCAGCCGGCCGUACAUAGUGGGAACUACAGUCAAGUGCUUGCGACUGCUGACACCAAACUUCAAGUCCACGGCUGAUAUUGUGAUCAGAGAGAUCAUCCAGUUUCCCACGCAAGAUUUCUCGUGUGUUGCACACAAGGACGAACACUGGAACAACAUCCACAGAACUUUGGUUCGAUGGUUUCGCCCAGAUCCAUUAUGUUGUCAAGGAUAUGAGCACGACCUUGUGCCUUCUUGUCACAACAGUGGUGACAACGCCAGGGGAAAAAAAAUAAGAUUUUCGCGCAUAUUUCCAGAACCAGCCUGUGUAGUGUUUUUGCGGCGUCAUAUCUCAGUAUCGGAGUACAAUGACCUGCCGGGAGUAACUGCAGUUGUUGGUCAUGAGGACAUGUCUUCUUGGGAGAAUUCGCCACCUUUGAAGCUUGGAAUUCUAUUCUUGCCUCAUGACUCCUUGGAGGACCCCAAGUCUGAUGGUUUUGCGGUAGAGGUGAUUGAUAGAGAUAAUUCACACCACCUCACACACGUAACUGUUCAACUGGACCAACUCGAUGAGAUGGUGAUUCCCAAGGCAACAGAGUAUCUUCAUCAUAAUGCCAAGGCUAGGACGUACCAGGUAUGUUGGAGGUCUAACCAUGGCAGUGCACAUCUAUGCGUGGAGAAGGCCAUCGCCGAAAAACUGCUCGAGGUGCGCAGAUCCACACGACAAGGAAGGAACAUUAAUAAGAGUACUAAGGGGCUUUCUCAAGUGAAGCAGCAUCAGCAGGCGCGGUUAAAAAAGCAGAUGUUUGAAUCUUUUCAAAAAAAUUGGGUUGUGCGUUCCUCGGAGAGGUUGCAGAGCUCGUUUACCACAUGGCAUGAUCAGUUUGGACAAAACUAG